rnacentral:lncRNA from 1 species
GCUUUGAGGCAACAGAAGUGCUAGCUCUUGAGUUAAUUUGAGACCUGGGCAUUUUGUUUGGCGGGGAGGGGCGGGGGAUUGUAUAUUACAUUGAUCAAAUUAAGGUAUUUCUUCCAUUAUUCAGAAAAAAGAAACAAAGGCGUUUUAUUCCUGUUACUUACAAGCUUCAAUUAGUUCAUUGAGUUAGCAUGUGCUAGAUUGAUUGAUAUCCUUUUUCUUUUAUUUUUUGGGUUGUUUAACUGGAUGGUAGAUGCCAUUUGAAUGAAAGCAAACAUGACAAAAUGAAAUGUUCACAAGGACAUGGAUUCAAGAGCACGUAUCUUUUAAUCUGCCGAUUUUCAUGAAGGAGACAUCAUAUAUUGUUGUGGUGACAAGCGUAUUGUUGCAAUAUACUUUAGGAUAUAAAUAUACAGUUUCUGUAAGGUAAUCUAGCUAAGAAGAGUGAUUAGUUUAGUAGAUGAUAUGCUUUGCUAGUUUACUUCAUCUAUGCUUUCUAAUACAGGCUUCCACCCUUUGCAGUUGUCACCACCAUCAGAUUUGUCAACGCCCUUUGUGCUUUCUUUACUUUGUAUCUGAGAGAUCAUAUCAUGAACGGAAACUCUUUCUUUUUGAAGCAGCUCUUGCAAUUCUU